rnacentral:rRNA from 217 species
UGGUGACUAUAGCAAGGAGGUCACACCUGUUCCCAUGCCGAACACAGAAGUUAAGCUCCUUAGCGUCGAUGGUAGUCGAACUUACGUUCCG